rnacentral:rRNA from 1 species
UAUGUAGGGGGCAAGCGUUGUCCGGAUUCAUUGGGCGUAAAGAGCGUGUAGGCGGCCAGGUAGGUCGGUUGUGAAAACUGGAGGCUCAACCUUCAGAGGUCGACCGAAACCAUCUGGCUAGAGUCCGGGAGAGGAGAGUGGAACUGCGAGUGUAGAGGUGAAAUUCGUAGAUAUUCGCAAGAACACCAGUGGCGAAGGCGGCUCACUGGCCCGAUACUAACGCUGAGGCACGAAAGCGUGGGGAGCAAACAGG